rnacentral:rRNA from 1 species
AGCGCAGGCGGAUUUGUAAGUCAGUGGUGAAAGGCUUAAGCUUAACUUGGGAACUGCCAUUGAUACUAUAAGUCUUGAAUGUUGUUGAGGUUUGCGGAAUGGGUCAUGUAGCGGUGAAAUGCAUAGAUAUGACCCGGAACACCUAUUGCGAAGGCAGCAGGCUAAACAAAUAUUGACGCUGAGGCUCGAAAGCGUGGGGAUCAAACAGGAUUAGAUACCCUGGUAGUCCACGCCCUAAACUAUGAUUACUCGACAUACGCGAUACACUGUGUGUGUCUGAGCGAAAGCAUUAAGUAAUCCACCUGGGAAGUACGACCGCAAGGUUGAA